AGACUGAGGCCCAAGGCCACUCACUGCCUUGGUUGCCUUGGUCAAGGGACGGCUCUCGCAGCACUCCACUCGGGCAUCACUAGGUAUUGCGCAGCACUAGGUAUUGCGCAGCAUCGUCAUCACUACGUAUUGCGCAGCACCGUCCACUUGGGCAAUCCUGGAGUCCUGGUUAGGUUUUGUUGACUGUUAAUUUUUGUGCCGUCAUGGUAAAAUAAAGAGGGGUUUCUGGUAUUUUGGCAGCUGGUAUCUUUUACUGUUGUUCUCCUGGGUAUCGCACACCGCUUCGAAGUGAGCCCCAAAACCAAAACCGGAAUCAGAAGUUGAGGAAGAAGGAGAAUCACGCGGGCUAUUCGAUGAAACCCAAUCGUCGCAUCGGUUUGAUCCAUUUUGAGUCCUUCAUCUUACUCUGAAGAAGAAGAAGAAUUUACAAUAUGACCAUUUUAUUUGGAAGCAAUCAAAACUUACCAGCCUUCAGAUCCUGAAUGGGAAGCUUUUCAAAACAUAAGCAACCAAGCUCACACAAACCAAUUUCUCGAUUCCUCCGGCCACCCCGAAGCUCUCUCUCUCUCUCUCUCAUUCUUCCCUGCAUUUUGGUUGUGUACGUUGCUAGAAAUAUCUGGUUGCCGAUUUGCGUUUCUCCGUCUCCGCGUUUGUGAAUUCCGCUGAGAAAUUGGCAAUGCAGCUUGAAAUUGUGUGGAAUCGGAAAAGUUAGGAGGAUUUGAGCUGGCUUGUAUCAUUUUUGUUGUGCUUAGGGUGUUUUCAAUUUUUCUGAAGGUGGAUAAUUCAGGUCUCUGAAGAUUGAGGCUUGGAUAAGGUAGAAAGGAGGUCAGGUAUGGUAGGAAAAAGAGAGUAAAGAAUUAUUAGUAGUUUUUUUUUGAGCUUGGAAGAGACGGAGAAGGACCACAAGUAGUGUGAGUUUCUUCUUAGAUGUAGUGUAUCUGAAGAAAAUGAUAUUUUCAAUUGUGGCAUGGUGCUUUUGAUGCCAAAUCCCAGUUCUGGUAAGGGUUUGAUUCCGUAAGAUUGAAACUUUGAACGUUAGAGAGAGCCCAAUAUGAACUAAGCCAUUACUUGUCUGUGAAACUUUCAAUCGUAAAGGUUCAUACUCUCUGUUUAUCAAGGUACUUUUUGAGGAAGUUGAAGAAAGUGAAGAAGAGCAAUGGACAAAUCUUGGCCAUCAAUGAGCUCUGCGUCCGCAAUUGAUAACAAGGAAACAGAUUUUAUGAUGAGCAUCCAGUCAGAGUCACACAAAAAUGGAAACAGGGGGUCAGAGCUGCAAAAAGAUGGAAAUGGGGGGUCAGAAUCACAGAAAGAUGGAAAUGGAGAUGCAAAAUCUUAAAUGGGACUUCUAGUAAAGAUCCUAAACUAGUGGAAAGCUCCGGCAGCACAAUUGACGGUAACGAGAAAUUAGCUCUGGUGGAAUGAUUAAAUUAUAUCAUUCCUUAUUUAAGACUGCCGACGGAUGCUUCUGAGGAGGAAAUCAGGGCGUGCUUAAUUGAUGGCACUGUUUGAUGCAGAAUUUUAAAUAAGCUGUGUCCGGUUCAGUUGAAAUGCUUUUGUCCUGCUUUAGGGAGGGAGUUCAGACCCUGGUUUUGCAAAUGUCAAAAGUUCCACCAGCUCUUCUAGAACAAUUGAAGCAGGGGACUAAUGUGGAUCUCUCUGAUGUCAAGAUUUUGGAAUCUGUCAAAUCAGCCAGUUUACGUAAUGCAUCAAUUUAAUCUGAAUUGGAUCUUCUGCUGUAAAUUCGGGAUCUUUAAAUACCUGUUUCGGAUUUGAAACGUGCUUGAGAAUGCAAGACUGGACCUGUGUAUGGUUUCUUACGACUAUAUUCUGGGUGACUGGUUUGAGGAAGAAGCCAUCUUCACCGUUGUGACUGCAGGUGCUAAAUAAGACAACUGAUAUCAUCCUCAUCAAUAUACGAAUGGAACCACUUGUGAUCUUACAAACCAGCCUCGAGUGACUGAAAUAUGAAGCUAUGAACUUUAUUUAGUUUUCAUUUUUCUGUUCCCAUCCCUCUUCUCCUUACUCUAUAUGCAUUUUGCAGGUGAGACUUGUAUGCUCAGAGCCGAGAGCUAUGAUUAGUUCGAUUACAGAGAUAUCCACCUACAAGUAUGCAGUUGCUAUUAAAUGCCCCACACUUUGCAAGCAUCCAUUAUUCCAAGCAGAGAGACCGGUAUGGGAGACCAUUAAUUGUAAUGUGCUUCCCAAAGAUUACAAGGAAACCCAAGUUGAGGAUGAAGAAUCUGAAAUUAAGUAGAUAGUUAUGGUCACAGACGGUGAAUCUCAUUCCAAUGAUGAAUUUGACAAGUAACAUUUGAUAAAUUCAAAAAAAAUUGUGAAUACUAAUGACAGCCAACCUUAUGUAAUCUUGUAUUCUUUUACACCUUUCACAAGUUUAUAGAAACCCAGUCAUUGAUUGUCCUC